rnacentral:tRNA from 1 species
GGGGGGAUGGCUCAAGAGGUAGAGUGUCCACCUUGCAAGGGAGAAGCCUUGAGUUCAAAUCUCAGUAUCACCA